GGUCAGGACGAACGCUGGCGGCGUGCCUAACACAUGCAAGUCGAGCGGAGUUGACAAGAGGAAGUUUCGGAUGGAAUCUUGUUAAUUAGCGGCGGACGGGUGAGUAACGCGUGAGCGACCAACCUUGCACAGGGGGAUAACGGACCGAAAGGUUCACUAAUACCGCAUGAGACCACGGUGUUGCAUGACACAGGGGUCAAAGGAGGAAUCCGGUGCAAGACGGGCUCGCGUCCGAUUAGGUAGUUGGAGGGGUAACGGCCCACCAAGCCUAUGAUCGGUAGCCGACCUGAGAGGGUGAUCGGCCACAUUGGAACUGAGAUACGGUCCAAACUCCUACGGGAGGCAGCAGUGGGGAAUAUUGGGCAAUGGGGGAAACCCUGACCCAGCAACGCCGCGUGAAGGAAGAAGGUUUUCGGAUUGUAAACUUCUGUCCUUGGUGAAGAGAAGAAGACGGUAGCCAAGGAGGAAGCCCCGGCUAACUACGUGCCAGCAGCAGC
rnacentral:rRNA from 1 species